GCUGUCAAUGGUAGCGUGAGAGCAUAAGGAAUUAACAGCUUUUAACUA
rnacentral:sRNA from 15 species